GGGUGACUACAUAGAAAUAUAAUCUCUGUGGGUGACUACAUAGAAAUAUAAUCUCUGUAGGUGACGACAUAGAAAUAUAAUCUCUGUGCGUGACUACAUAGAAAUAUAAUCUCUGUGGGUGACUACAUAGAAAUAUAAUCUCUGUGGGUGACUACAUAGAAAUAUAAUCUCUGUAGGUGACUACAUAGAAAUAUAAUCUUUGUGCGUGACUACAUAGAAAUAUAAUCUCUGUAGGUGAGGGGGAGACUGCAGGGAGCUAGCUAACAGUAGAAUUAUAACUACGUAGAAUUAUAAUCUCUGUGGGUGACUACAUAGAAAUAUAAUCUUUCUGUGUGACUACAUAGAAAUAUAAUCUCUGUGGGUGACUACAUAGAAAUAUAAUCUCUGUGCGUGACUACAUAGAAAUAUAAUCUCUGUGGGUGUCUACAUAGAAAUAUCAUCUCUGUGCGUGACUACAUAGAAAUAUAAUCUCUGUAG
rnacentral:lncRNA from 1 species